rnacentral:rRNA from 1 species
AUACGGAGGGUGCAAGCGUUAUCCGGAAUCAUGGGGUUUAAAGGGUCCGUAGGCGGACUAAUAAGUCAGGGGUGAAAUCCCACAGCUUAACUGUGGAACUGCCUUUGAUACUGUUAGUCUUGAGUUAUAUGGAAGUAGAUAGAAUGUGUAGUGUAGCGGUGAAAUGCUUAGAGAUUACACAGAAUACCGAUUGCGAAGGCAGUCUACUACAUAUAUACUGACGCUAAUGGACGAAAGCGUGGGGAGCGAACAGGAUUAGAAACCCUAGUAGUCC